rnacentral:rRNA from 1 species
AACGAACGCUGGCGGCAGGCCUAAUACAUGCAAGUCGAACGGGCGUAGCAAUACGUCAGUGGCGGACGGGUGAGUAACACGUGGGAACAUGCCUUUCGGUUCGGAAUAAACGCAGGGAAACUUGCGCUAAUACCGGAUGACCCGGCGACGGAAAAGAUUUAUCGCCGAAAGAUUGGCCCGCGUAGGAUUAGCUAGUUGGUGAGGUAACGGCCCACCAAGGCGACGAUCCUUAGCUGGUUUGAGAGAACGAUCAGCCACACUGGGACUGAGACACGGCCCAGACUCCUACGGGAGGCAGCAGUAGGGAAUCUUGGACAAUGGGGGAAACCCGUGAUCCAGCCAUGCCGCGUGAGUGAUGAAGGCC